rnacentral:sRNA from 1 species
CCGCCCGUCAAACCACGAAAGUUUAUAAUACCCAAAACCGGUGGCCUAACCGUAAGGAGGGAGCCGUCUAAGGUAGGGUAAAUGAUUGGGGUUAAGUCGUAACAAGGUAUCCCUACGAGAACGUGGGGAUGGAUCACCUCCUUUCUAAGGAGAUUAACUAUAUGCAAACAAAAAACUUUUAAAAAGUUAUCAAAUAUAUAUUCAGUUAUCAAAGACUUAAAUGUCUUUAAGAAAUAAUAGGGCCUGUAGCUCAGUUGGUUAGAGCACACGCUUGAUAAGCGUGGGGUCGAUGGUUCAAGUCCAUUCAGGCCCACCAUAAUAGAAAUACAAGUUCUAUUAGUGAAAAGAUCUUUGAAAAGUAGAUAAAAUUCUGUCAAAUUAACAAAUUUAAAAAAUUUAUAUAAAAGGUUAAGGAAGAAAGAGCGCAUAGUGGAUGCCUUGGCACUAAGAGCCGAUGAAGGACGUAACUAACUACGAUAAUCUACGGUUAGCUGUAAGUAAGCAAUGACCCGUAGGAUUCCGAAUGGGGCAACCCAAUGAUUUAAGAUCAUUACACAAUAUGUGAGGGAACGCAGAGAACUGAAAUAUCUAAGUAACUGCAGGAAAAGAAAGUAAAAACGAUUCUACUAGUAGUGACGAGCGAAAGUGGAACAGCCAGUAGCUAUUACAGUUAUAAAAUAAUAAUAUAGAAGAACAUGUUGGGAAACAUGACCAUAGUGAGUGAUAGUCUCGUAUUUGAAAUAUUGUUAUCUGAUGCUACAAAAAGUACGGCGGGACACGAGAAAUCUUGUCGGAACGAAUAAGGAGGACCAUCUCCUAAGGCUAAAUACUACUUAGUGACCGAUAGUGAACCAG